rnacentral:lncRNA from 1 species
CUGUUAUGACGGGAUUUUGGGUGGUGAGUCACUGGGGUUAACAUAGUUAACCGGUAAAGAUUGGGUAAAAGCCAAGGUAGAGUAAAUUGAAGUUUGGGAGAAAUUGAAUUAUUCCUUUUUAGGUAAUGGAGAAUAGGUCAUUUCAAUUGCUGAGAAGCUUAUCUUUUUGUGUAAUUUAAGAAGGGAAAUAUCUCUUUGUCUAAAUUGUUCUAUGCAGUGUUCAUUUUGGGUUCGUUGUACAUUUUGAUUAAAAGUGAGGUUUUAAUGUAAUUUGAGGCUUAAAAAUUGUAUUUUGUAUAUUAAACGUUGUAUUAUGGGUCAGAAAACUUCCGCUAAAUGGUUACUUUUAAGUUUGCAACAAAGUGUGGUUCUUCGAAAUGUUUAAUGUUUCGGAAGGUGGUUUUGUUCACUUUGCUUAAUAUAAAUUUGAGGUUUUAAUAUAAUUUGAGGUUUAAAAUUGUAUUUUGUGUAUUAAAUU